rnacentral:rRNA from 1 species
CGCUAUCACUCCUACGGGAGGCAGCAGUAGGGAAUCUUCCACAAUGGGUGCAAGCCUGAUGGAGCAACACCGCGUGAGUGAAGAAGGGUUUCGGCUCGUAAAGCUCUGUUGUUAAAGAAGAACACGUAUGAGAGUAACUGUUCAUACGUUGACGGUAUUUAACCAGAAAGUCACGGCUAACUACGUGCCAGCAGCCGCGGUAAUACGUAGGUGGCAAGCGUUAUCCGGAUUUAUUGGGCGUAAAGAGAGUGCAGGCGGUUUUCUAAGUCUGAUGUGAAAGCCUUCGGCUUAACCGGAGAAGUGCAUCGGAAACUGGAUAACUUGAGUGCAGAAGAGGGUAGUGGAACUCCAUGUGUAGCGGUGGAAUGCGUAGAUAUAUGGAAGAACACCAGUGGCGAAGGCGGCUACCUGGUCUGCAACUGACGCUGAGACUCGAAAGCAUGGGUAGCGAACAGGAUUAGAUACCCUGGUAG